rnacentral:tRNA from 1 species
UGGCUCAGUUGGUAGAGCAUGGUGUUUGCAACGCCAGCAUGGUGUUUGCAACGCCAGGUUUGUGGGUUCGAUUCCCAC